rnacentral:rRNA from 1 species
UACGUAGGGGGCAAGCGUUGUCCGGAUUCAUUGGGCGUAAAGAGCGUGUAGGCGGCCAGGUAGGUCGGUUGUGAAAACUGGAGGCUCAACCUUCAGAGGUCGACCGAAACCAUCUGGCUAGAGUCCGGGAGAGGAGAGUGGAAUUCCUGGUGUAGCGGUGAAAUGCGCAGAUAUCAGGAAGAACACCCGUGGCGAAAGCGGCUCUCUGGAACGGUACUAACGCUGAGACGCGAAAGCGUGGGGAGCGAACAGG